rnacentral:rRNA from 1 species
AUUGAACGCUGGCGGCAGGCCUAACACAUGCAAGUCGAGCGGAUGAGGGUAGCUUGCUACCUGAUUCAGCGGCGGACGGGUGAGUAAUGCCUAGGAAUCUGCCUGGUAGUGGGGGACAACGUUUCGAAAGGAACGCUAAUACCGCAUACGUCCUACGGGAGAAAGUGGGGGAUCUUCGGACCUCACGCUAUCAGAUGAGCCUAGGUCGGAUUAGCUAGUUGGAGGGGUAAAGGCUCACCAAGGCGACGAUCCGUAACUGGUCUGAGAGGAUGAUCAGUCACACUGGAACUGAGACACGGUCCAGACUCCUACGGGAGGCAGCAGUGGGGAAUAUUGGACAAUGGGCGCAAGCCUGAUCCAGCCAUGCCGCGUGUGUGAAGAAGGUCUUCGGAUUGUAAAGCACUUUAAGUUGGGAGGAAGGGCAGUAAGUUAAUACCUUGCUGUUUUGACGUUACCGACAGAAUAAGCACCGGCUAACUCUGUGCCAGCACG